rnacentral:rRNA from 1 species
UGGGGAAUCUUGCACAAUGGGGGAAACCCUGAUGCAGCGACGCCGCGUGAACGAUGAAGCCCCUCGGGGUGUAAAGUUCUUUCGACGGGGACGAUAAUGACGGUACCCGGAGAAGAAGCUGCGGCUAACUACGUGCCAGCAGCCGCGGUAAUACGUAGGCAGCAAGCGUUGUUCGGAAUUACUGGGCGUAAAGAGUGCGUAGGUGGUUGGCCAAGUUUGGUGUGAAAUCUCCCGGCUUAACUGGGAGGGUGCGCCGAAAACUGGUUGACUAGAGUGUGGGAGAGGGACGUGGAAUUCCUGGUGUAGCGGUGAAAUGCGUAGAUAUCAGGAGGAACACCUGCGGUGUAGACGGCGUCCUGGACCAUGACUGACACUGAGGCACGAAAGCGUGGGGAGCAAACA